UACAGAGGUCCCAAGCGUUGUUCGGAUUCAUUGGGCGUAAAGGGCGCGUAGGCGGGAUGGCAAGUCGGUCGUGAAAUCCCUCGGCUCAACUGAGGACGUGCGGAAGAAACUGCAAGGCUCGAGUCCGGGAGAGGGGGGUGGAAUUCCCAGUGUAGCGGUGAAAUGCGUAGAUAUUGGGAGGAACACCGGUGGCGAAGGCGGCCCCCUGGACCGGAACUGACGCUGAGGCGCGAAAGCGUGGGUAGCAAACGGG
rnacentral:rRNA from 1 species